CCUACGGGAGGCAGCAGUGGGGAAUAUUGGACAAUGGGGGCAACCCUGAUCCAGCCAUGCCGCGUGUGUGAAGAAGGCCCUCGGGUUGUAAAGCACUUUCAGUGAGGAAGAACGCCUGGUGGUUAAUACCCAUCAGGAAAGACAUCACUCACAGAAGAAGCACCGGCUAACUCCGUGCCAGCAGCCGCGGUAAUACGGAGGGUGCGAGCGUUAAUCGGAAUUACUGGGCGUAAAGCGCGCGUAGGUGGCUUGAUAAGCCGGUUGUGAAAGCCCCGGGCUCAACCUGGGAACGGCAUCCGGAACUGUCAAGCUAGAGUGCAGGAGAGGAAGGUAGAAUUCCCGGUGUAGCGGUGAAAUGCGUAGAGAUCGGGAGGAAUACCAGUGGCGAAGGCGGCCUUCUGGACUGACACUGACACUGAGGUGCGAAAGCGUGGGUAGCAAACAGGAUUAGAUACCCCUUAGUC
rnacentral:rRNA from 1 species